rnacentral:rRNA from 1 species
CACGUAGGGAGCAAGCGUUGUCCGGAUUUAUUGGGCGUAAAGAGCUCGUAGGCGGUUCGAUAAGUCAGACGUGAAAUCCCUCGGCUUAACCGGGGAACUGCGUCUGAUACUGGAUGGCUUGAGUUUGGGAGAGGGAUGCGGAAUUCCAGGUGUAGCGGUGAAAUGCGUAGAUAUCUGGAGGAACACCGGUGGCGAAGGCGGCAUCCUGGACCGGCAUUGACGCUGAGGCGCGAAAGCCAGGG